UGGGGAAUUUUGGACAAUGGGGGCAACCCUGAUCCAGCCAUGCCGCGUGAGUGAAGAAGGCCUUCGGGUUGUAAAGCUCUUUCGGACAGAAAGAAAUCGCAUAACUUAAUACGUUAUGUGGAUGACGGUACUGUAAGAAGAAGCACCGGCUAACUACGUGCCAGCAGCCGCGGUAAUACGUAGGGUGCGAGCGUUAAUCGGAAUUACUGGGCGUAAAGAGUGCGUAGGCGGUAACUCAAGUCAGAUGUGAAAGCCCCGGGCUUAACCUGGGAUGUGCGUUUGAAACUAAGUUACUAGAGUUUGAAAGAGGGGGGUAGAAUUCCUGGUGUAGCAGUGAAAUGCGUAGAUAUCAGGAGGAAUACCAAUGGCGAAGGCAGCCCCCUGGGUUAAAACUGACGCUGAGGCACGAAAGCAUGGGGAGCAAACAG
rnacentral:rRNA from 1 species